GAUGAACGCUGGCGGCGUGCCUAAUACAUGCAAGUCGAGCGAAUGGAUUAAGAGCUUGCUCUUAUGAAGUUAGCGGCGGACGGGUGAGUAACACGUGGGUAACCUGCCCAUAAGACUGGGAUAACUCCGGGAAACCGGGGCUAAUACCGGAUAACAUUUUGAACCGCAUGGUUCGAAAUUGAAAGGCGGCUUCGGCUGUCACUUAUGGAUGGACCCGCGUCGCAUUAGCUAGUUGGUGAGGUAACGGCUCACCAAGGCAACGAUGCGUAGCCGACCUGAGAGGGUGAUCGGCCACACUGGGACUGAGACACGGCCCAGACUCCUACGGGAGGCAGCAGUAGGGAAUCCUCCGCGAUGGACGAAAGUCUGACGGAGCAACGCCGCGUGAGUGAUGAAGGCUUUCGGGUCGUAAAACUCUGUUGUUAGGGAAGAACAAGUGCUAGUUGAAUAAGCUGGCACCUUGACGGUACCUAACCAGAAAGCCACGGCUAACUACGUGCCAGCAGCCGCCGUAA
rnacentral:rRNA from 1 species